AACUGAACUAGGUAGAGUGGACUAACAUCUGAGCCCUCAGUAGUACUGAACUAGGUAGAGUGGACUAACAUCUGAGCCCUCAGUAGUACUGAACUAGGUAGAGUGGACUAACAUCUGAGCCCUCAGUAGUACUGAACUAGGUAGAGUGGACUAACAUCUGAGCCCUCAGUAGUACUGAACUAGGUAGAGUGGACUGACAUCUGAGCCCUCAGUAGAACUGAACUAGGUAGAGUGGACUAACAUCUGAGCCCU